rnacentral:rRNA from 1 species
GACGAACGCUGGCGGCGUGCCUAAUACAUGCAAGUAGAACGCAGUUGCGAACGGGUGAGUAACGCGUAGGUAACCUGCCUCAUAGCGGGGGAUAACUAUUGGAAACGAUAGCUAAUACCGCAUACUGUGAGAUGGACCUGCGUUGUAUUAGCUAGUUGGUGAGGUAAAGGCUCACCAAGGCGACGAUACAUAGCCAACCUGAGAGGGUGAUGGGCAACAAGGGGACUGAGACACGGUCCAGACUCCUACGGGAGGCAGCAGUGGGGAAUAUUGGACAAUGGGCGCAAGCCUAAUGCAGCAAUGCCGGGUGUAUGAAGAAGGCCUUCGGGUUGUAAAGUACUUUCAGCGGGGAGGCGUUACCCGCAGAAGAAGCACCGGCUAACUCCGUGCCAGCAGCCGCGGUAAUAC